rnacentral:piRNA from 1 species
UGAAACAUAAUUGCUGCAUCAGUUAACACUGC